AUUGAACGCUGGCGGCAGGCCUAACACAUGCAAGUCGAGCGAGUGGCGGACGGGUGAGUAAUGUAUGGGGACUGCCCGAUGGAGGGGGAUAACUACUGGCAACGGUAGCUAAUACCGCAUACUAUCGGAUAACCCAUAUGGGAUUAGCUGGUAGGUGAGGGAAUGGCUCACCUAGGCGACGCUCCCUAGCUGGUCUGAGAGGAGGACCAGCAAAACUGGGACUGAGAAACGGCCCAGACUCCUCCGGAGGCAGCAGUGGGGAAUAUUGCACAAUGGGCGCAAGCCUGAUGCAGCCAUGCCGCGUGUAUGAAGAAGGCCCUAGGGUUGUAAAGUACUUUCAGUCGGGAGGCGUUACCGACAGAAGAAGCACCGGCUAACUCCGUGCCAGCAGCCGCGGUAAUUC
rnacentral:rRNA from 1 species